AUACGGAGGAUCCGAGCGUUAUCCGGAUUUAUUGGGUUUAAAGGGAGCGUAGGUGGAUUGUUAAGUCAGUUGUGAAAGUUUGCGGCUCAACCGUAAAAUUGCAGUUGAAACUGGCAGUCUUGAGUACAGUAGAGGUGGGCGGAAUUCGUGGUGUAGCGGUGAAAUGCUUAGAUAUCACGAAGAACUCCGAUUGCGAAGUCAGCUCACUAGUCUGUUACUGACACUGAUGCUCGAAAGUGUGGGUAUCAAACAGGAUUAGAUACCCUGGUAGUCCACACAGUAAACGAUGAAUACUCGCUGUUUGCGAUAUACAGUAAGCGGCCAAGCGAAAGCAUUAAGUAUUCCACCUGGGGAGUACGCCGGCAACGGUGAAACUCAAAUGAAUUGACGGGG
rnacentral:rRNA from 1 species